CCUACGGGAGGCAGCAGUGGGGGAUAUUGCACAAUGGGGGGAACCCUGAUGCAGCGACGCCGCGUGGGUGAAGAAGCGCCUCGGCGCGUAAAGCCCUGUCAGCAGGGAAGAAAAUGACGGUACCUGAAGAAGAAGCCCCGGCUAAAUACGUGCCAGCAGCCGCGGGAAUACGUAGGGGGCAAGCGUUAUCCGGAUUUACUGGGUGUAAAGGGGGCGCAGACGGCGAUGCAAGCCAGGAGUGAAAGCCCGGGGCCCAACCCCGGGACUGCUCUUGGAACUGCGUGGCUGGAGUGCAGGAGGGGCAGGCGGAAUUCCUGGUGUCGCGGUGAAAUGCGUAGAUAUCAGGAGGAACACCGGUGGCGGAGGCGGCCUGCUGGACUGCAACUGACGUUGAGGCCCGAAAGCGUGGGGAGCAAACAGGAUUAGAUACCCGAGUAGUC
rnacentral:rRNA from 1 species